rnacentral:snRNA from 1 species
UCACUUACCUGGACGGGGUCUAUAGCCGAUCAAGAAGAGCUAUGGCCUAGGUCAGUGGCCUCCAUUGCACUUGGGAGGAGCAUUGGCUUACCAUCUCCCUAAAUGGGAGAGUGGACGUCGUAAUUUGUGUUGAGGGGGUACGCGUUCGCGCGGCCCCUG